GGACUACUAGGGGGCACUUGAGGACUGGGUUGGUAACCACUGAUUUACAGACUAUCGCAACUGGCUUUGAAAAAGCACAUAUCUCUGUUUAUGUCACAUUAUUGAUAUUAGUAAGGUUAAACAUGCAAACUUUCCCAGGAGCAUCAACUAAUUUCUUCAGCUAUGUUUAGUGCAAAUUUCAUAAUUUGUUCUGCCACUUCCGAAGUGAUUCUGAGAUGGCAAAGAAGUGGCAGAAAUACCUAAAACUCUCCUUCCUCAACACCUCCAUGUUAUGGACUUUGGAUGUCUUCACAUUUUUCAGAUGAAGCCUCCAGGAGCCAAAACUGAAACUUAAUAUAGCCAAAUCAGCAAUAAGUUUGUAUUAGGGGAUCUUUUAAAUGUGCAAGUAUAUUAUAGAACUUGCAGUGUAGUCU